UCCAUGAGUCUGUGACGUUCACAGCCAGGAGCACUCAGCCUGUCCGUGCCCAGGACGGGAGCAGCUGUGCAACAGCACAGACAUCCACACCGCGGCUCCUCUCUGCGCUCGGAGGUGUUUCUGGCAAUUUCACCCCGGGCUGGGCUCACAGCCAUGGGCUCUGUGCCUCCUGGGCACGCCCUGGGAGGGCCUAGAAGGCGUCCCUCGGCCUCGGCAGCUGUCAGCUAUUAUGACAUCAGAACCCGCCGUCCUACUCAGCCACGCCGCAGACCUAUGCAGCAGUGCAGUCCCGCCAGGAUUGCAGAGCAGGCGAGUGGGAAGAGGUGCUCGUGUCCUGGGAGGAGAGUGAGCUGUUCCCUGUGUCUGCUGGAGUGAAGGUGCCAAAAUGCCAGCCCAGCUGGGCAGGCAAGGCGUCGCCCAAGAGAGGGGAAGGAGGAGCCCCAUCCUGCUUCUAGCAGUGCUUUCUGCUGGAGCCUUCCUCUGGAUAUUGGCAGCUUGGAGAAGCGACGUCCCGCAGGUCAGUGCCGCGGUGUGCGGCAGAGGCCAAAGCUCUGCCCUUCUGCCUCUGCAGGGAAGGGAGUUUGGCCACGGGCUCCUCACUGCUGAGGCGGAGGGCAGACCUUGAGCCGGGCUGGGGUCGCCUUGGCAGCAGGGUGGGCUUCGGUCUGGAAGCACCUUCCCGGUGCCCAGCUCGGAGCUUGGGCUGAAGGCAGUAGCGC
rnacentral:lncRNA from 1 species